rnacentral:tRNA from 3 species
GCCAAAAUAGCUCAGGGGUAGAGCGGCUCACUCGUAAUGAGCAGGUCAAGGGUUCGAUUCCCUUUUUUGGCU